rnacentral:rRNA from 1 species
GUGGGGAAUAUUGGACAAUGGGGGGAACCCUGAUCCAGUCAUGCCGCGUGUGUGAAGAAGGCCUUUUGGUUGUAAAGCACUUUAAGCGAGGAGGAGGCUACCGAGAUUAAUACUCUUGGAUAGUGGACGUUACUCGCAGAAUAAGCACCGGCUAACUCUGUGCCAGCAGCCGCGGUAAUACAGAGGGUGCAAGCGUUAAUCGGAUUUACUGGGCGUAAAGCGCGCGUAGGUGGCCAAUUAAGUCAAAUGUGAAAUCCCCGAGCUUAACUUGGGAAUUGCAUUCGAUACUGGUUGGCUAGAGUAUGGGAGAGGAUGGUAGAAUUCCAGGUGUAGCGGUGAAAUGCGUAGAGAUCUGGAGGAAUACCGAUGGCGAAGGCAGCCAUCUGGCCUAAUACUGACACUGAGGUGCGAAAGCAUGGGGAGCAAACAGGAUUAGAAACCCCGGUAGUCC